rnacentral:rRNA from 1 species
AUUGAACGCUGGCGGCAGGCUUAACACAUGCAAGUCGAACGAGUGGCGGACGGGUGAGUAAUGCUUGGGAAUCUGGCUUAUGGAGGGGGAUAACGACGGGAAACUGUCGCUAAUACCGCGUACCAUAGGAUGAGCCCAAGUGGGAUUAGGUAGUUGGUGGGGUAAUGGCCUACCAAGUCGACGAUCUCUAGCUGGUCUGAGAGGAUGACCCGGCCAACCGGGACCGGGACACUGCCCAGACUCCUACGGGAGGCAGCAGGGGGGAAUCGUACGCAAUGGACGAAAGGCUGACGGAGCAACGCCGCGUGAGGGAUGACGGCCUUCGGGGUGUAAAGCUCUGUUAAUCGGGAGGCGGUACCGGAAUAGAAAGCCACGGCUAACUACGUGCCAGCAGCCGCGGUAAUUC